rnacentral:rRNA from 1 species
UACGAGGGGGGCAAGCGUUGUUCGGAAUUAUUGGGCGUAAAGAGCUCGUAGGCGGUCUGUCGCGUCGGCUGUGAAAACCCGGAGCUCAACUCCGGGCCUGCAGUCGAUACGGGCAGACUGGAGUUCGGCAGGGGAGACUGGAAUUCCUGGUGUAGCGGUGAAAUGCGCAGAUAUCAGGAGGAACACCGGUGGCGAAGGCGGGUCUCUGGGCCGAUACUGACGCUGAGGAGCGAAAGCGUGGGGAGCGAACAGG